CAGGGUUUGACAUCCUGAGACCGCCGGUGAAAGCCGGUUUUCCCGCAAGGGACUCAGAGACAGGUGCUGCAUGGCUGUCGUCAGCUCGUGUCGUGAGAUGUUGGGUUAAGUCCCGCAACGAGCGCAACCCUCGCCUUUAGUUGCCAUCAUUAAGUUGGGCACUCUAGAGGGACCGCCGGCGACAAGCCGGAGGAAGGUGGGGAUGACGUCAAGUCCUCAUGGCCCUUACACCCUGGGCUACACACGUGCUACAAUGGCGGUGACAGUGAGCAGCUAGUUCGCGAGAACGUGCUAAUCUCUAAAAACCGUCCCAGUUCAGAUUGCACUCUGCAACUCGAGUGCAUGAAGGUGGAAUCGCUAGUAAUCGCAGAACAGCAGGCUGCGGUGAAUACGUUCCC
rnacentral:rRNA from 1 species